rnacentral:rRNA from 1 species
UCCUACGGGAGGCAGCAGUGAGGGAUAUUGGUCAAUGGGGGAAACCCUGAACCAGCAACGCCGCGUGAGGGAAGACGGUUUUCGGAUUGUAAACCUCUGUCCUCUGUGAAGAUAAUGACGGUAGCAGAGGAGGAAGCUCCGGCUAACUACGUGCCAGCAGCCGCGGUAAUACGUAGGGAGCAGGCGUUAUCCGGAUUUAUUGGGUGUAAAGGGUGCGUAGACGGGAAGGCAAGUUGGUUGUGAAAUCCCUCGGCUUAACUGAGGAACUGCAACCAAAACUAUCUUUCUUGAGUGCUGGAGAGGAA